UUUCGAUACUCGUACCGAUUCUAGCUUUUCCGAGUACUCGCCCGGAUUCUACCAUUUUUCGGUACUCACACAGAUUCGACCCUUUUCGGGUACUCGCCGGGACAGUUUUUCGAUACUCGUACGGAUUCUACCUUUUCCGGGUACUCGCCCGGAUUCUACCAUUUUUCGGUACUCACACAGAUUCGACCCUUUUCGGGUACUCGCCGGG
rnacentral:lncRNA from 1 species